UACAGAGGUCGCAAGCGUUAAUCGGAUUUACUGGGCGUAAAGCGUGCGUAGGCGGUUUGUUAAGUCUGUUGUGAAAGCCCCGGGCUCAACCUGGGAAUGGCAAUGGAAACUGGCGAGCUAGAGUACGGUAGAGGAGAGUGGAAUUCCCGGUGUAGCAGUGAAAUGCGUAGAGAUCGGGAGGAACAUCAGUUGCGAAGGCGGCUCUCUGGACCAGUACUGACGCUGAGGCACGAAAGCGUGGGGAGCAAACAGG
rnacentral:rRNA from 1 species